UACAGAGGGUGCAAGCGUUAUUCGGAAUGACUGGGCGUAAAGGGCGCGUAGGCGGUUUAAAAAGUUAGAUGUGAAAUACCCGGGCUUAACCUGGGCAGGUCAUUUAAUACUAUUAAGCUGGAGAACAGGAGAGGGUGGCGAAAUUUCUAGAGUAGCGGUGAAAUGCGUAGAUACUAGAAAGAAGACUCGAGGCGAAGGCGGUCACCUGGCCUGGUACUGACGCUGAGGCGCGAAAGCGUGGGGAGCAAACAGG
rnacentral:rRNA from 1 species